rnacentral:misc_RNA from 1 species
UCAAACUUGGUCAUUUAGAGGAAGUAAAAGUCGUAACAAGGUAACCGUAGGUGAACCUGCGGUUGGAUCAUUAACAAAUCUAAACAAUUUGUUUAAUGAAAUUGGUUGAUUUAGUUAGUAAAGAGGGAUAUUAUCUUUUUUUUACUAGCUGAUCCCCAAUUUCAUUUUUCAACACCUGUGCAUUUAGGUGCACCUGUGUCUUGGUACAAUAUUUCCUAUAUUUCUAGGAAAUAUGUACCAUGAUUUUACACUCCAUUUAGUCAUAAAACCCAUUUUAUUUAUUUUAAAAUAAAUUGAAAAACAACUUUUGACAACGGAUCUCUUGGCUCUUGCAUCGAUGAAGAACGCAGC